UCCUUGGGAGAGUUUCCUAAAGCAAUGAAAUCAUUUAAAAAACAUGGUUCCUGACUUUCACCCAGUAGCUUGAGGCAACCAGGAACCAGUCAGGAUCUUGAGUGUUCUCUUCUCAGCAUGAUUUUCAGACCUGAAUAUAGUAAAGUGAGAGAUAAGGACAAGAUAAAGGGGAUUUCUCUACCCCCUACAGGAGUAGAAAAAUGACAUUGUGGCUACCGGACCCAUGGCAGAUGUAAAUGAGUCCCAUCGCCCGUGGGUGCUCCUUGGUGGAGAUCAGUGCCCUGAGCAAGUGCGAGGGGUGGGGCAGAGUUGGUGAGAUUUGGGAUUCUGGCUCUUCAGUCUCUUGGGUCUCUGCAAUAGCCUCGGACACUUCUGUUGUCCAGAUGACCCUAAAUCCAUUUCAGACUCAUAAAAGAGGGGAACUAGCCAUCUCUAUCAUAUCCCUAUUCUCAGCUUGCUAUACCAGAAACUUUGGAGAAUUUCCCUGUUUGGAUGAGUUCCAGAAUUCUCUCAGUCUAGGUUGUGCAGUUAACAUGGUUCCUAUGAGGGAGAAACUCCUUCAUUAGAUUGUAAACUCCCUGAGGAGGGGCUGGGAGGUGGAAUUGUCUUUAUUUUGACUCUUUUUGUAUCCUUAGCACUUAGCAUAGCUCCUGGCUCUUGGUAGGCACUUAAUAAAUGUUUAUUGAAUUGAAUUGAA